rnacentral:rRNA from 1 species
GACGAACGCUGGCGGCGUGCCUAAUACAUGCAAGUCGAGCGAACGGACGAGAAGCUUGCUCGUACGAGGUUAGCGGCGGACGGGUGAGUAACACGUGGAUAACCUACCUAUCAGAAUGGGAUAACAUCGGGAAACCGGAGCUAAUACCGGAUAAUAUUUUGAACCGCAAGGUUCAAGAGUGAAAGACGCUCUUGCUGUCACUAAUAGAUGGCCCCGGGCUGCAUUAGUUAGUUGGUAAGGUAAAGGCUUACCAAGGCAACGAUGCAUAGCCGACCUGAGAGGGUGAUCGGCCAGCCUGGAACAGAGACUGGGCCCAGACUCCUGCGGGAGGCAGCGGUAGGGACUCUUGCGCGAUGGGCGAGUGCCUAACAGUGCAGCGCGGCGUGAGUGAUGAUGGUCUUCGGAUCGUAAAGCGCUGUUGCUAGUAGAGAACUAAUGUGUAUUUAACCGUGCUCAUCUUGACGGUACCGGGUCAAAAAGCCCCGGCUAACUACGUG